CCGCGGUAAUUUGACCGUGCUAAGGUAGCAUAAUCAUUUGUCUUUUAAUUGAAGACUGGUAUGAAAGGUGAUACGAGAAAUGAGCUGUCUUUGUAAAAUACAUUGAAUUUUAUUUUUUAGUGAAAAAGCUAAAAUGAUUUUGUGGGACGAUAAGACCCUAUAGAUCUUUAUUAAAUUACAUUAAUUAACUAAUGUAAUUUAAUUUUAUUGGGGCGAUAAAAAGAAAUAAACAUCUCUUUUAUUUGUAAAAUAUUUAUUAAUAGAUAUUGUUUAAUGAUCCUAAAAGAUGGAUUAAUAGAAUAAGUUACCUUAGGGAUAACAGCGUAAUAUUUUUUGAGAGUUCUUAUCGAAAAAGAUGUUUGCGACCUCGAUGUUGGA
rnacentral:rRNA from 1 species